rnacentral:rRNA from 1 species
AUUGAACGCUGGCGGCAUGCCUUACACAUGCAAGUCGAACGGCAGCAUGAUCUAGCUUGCUAGAUUGAUGGCGAGUGGCGAACGGGUGAGUAAUACAUCGGAACGUGCCCUGUAGUGGGGGAUAACUAGUCGAAAGAUUAGCUAAUACCGCAUACGACCUGAGGGUGAAAGUGGGGGACCGCAAGGCCUCAUGCUAUAGGAGCGGCCGAUGUCUGAUUAGCUAGUUGGUGAGGUAAAGGCUCACCAAGGCGACGAUCAGUAGCUGGUCUGAGAGGACGAUCAGCCGCACUGGGACUGGGACACGGCCCAGGCUCCUACGGGAGGCAGCAGUGGGGAAUUUUGGACAAUGGGCGAAAGCCUGAUCCAGCAAUGCCGCGUGUGUGAAGAAGGCCUUCGGGUUGUAAAGCACUUUUGUCCGGAAAGAAAUGGCUCUGGUUAAUACCUGGGGUCGAUGACGGUACCGGAAGAAUAAGGACCGGCUAACUACGUG